CCUACGGGAGGCAGCAGUGGGGAAUAUUGCACAAUGGGGGAAACCCUGAUGCAGCGACGCCGCGUGAGUGAAGAAGUAAUUCGUUACGUAAAGCUCUAUCAGCAGGGAAGAAACACUGACCUUACGGUCAGCAGACGGUACCUGAGUAAGAAGCCGCGGCUAACUACGUGCCAGCAGCCGCGGUAAAACGGAGGGGGCAAGCGUUAUCCGGGUUUACUGGGUGUAAAGGGAGCGUAGACGGUGAGCCAAGUCUGGAGUGAAAUGUAGCAGCUUAACUGCGGAACUGCUAUUGAGACUGGGGAACUAGAGUGCGGGAGGGGUAAGCGGAAUUCCUAGUGUAGCGGUGAAAUGCGUAGAUAUUAGGAGGAACACCGGUGGCGAAGGCGGCUUACUGGACCGUAACUGACGUUGAGGCUCGAAAGCGUGGGGAGCAAACAGGAUUAGAUACCCGGGUAGUC
rnacentral:rRNA from 1 species